UUUAACCGUGCGAAGGUAGCGCAAUCACUUGUCUUUUAAAUGAAGACCUGUAUGAACGGCAUAACGAGGGCUUAACUGUCUCCUUUUUCAAGUCAAUGAAAUUGAUCUCCCCGUGCAGAAGCGGGGAUAGUCCCAUAAGACGAGAAGACCCUAUGGAGCUUUAGACAUCAGGGUAUAUCAUGUUAAACACCCCUAAACAAAGGGCCUAACUAAAUGAACUCUACUCCCAUGUCUUUGGUUGGGGCGACCACGGGGAAAUAAAAAACCCCCACGUGGAAGGGGAGCACUGCCUCCUACAACCAAGAGCCACAACUCAACUUAACAGAACUUCUGACCAUAUAUGAUCCGGCAACGCCGAUCAACGGACCGAGUUACCCUAGGGAUAACAGCGCAAUCCUCUUCUAGAGCCCAUAUCGACAAGAGGGUUUACGACCUCGAUGUUGGAUCAGGACAUCCUAAUGGUGCAACCGCUAUUAAGGGUUCGUUUGUUCAACGAUUAAAGUCCUACGUGAUCUGAGUUCAGAACCGG
rnacentral:rRNA from 1 species